UACGUAGGUGGCAAGCGUUGUCCGGAUUUACUGGGCGUAAAGCGUACGCAGGCGGACCUUUUAAGUAGGAAGUGAAAGGUUGGAGCUCAACUCUAACACUGCUCCCUAUACUGGAGGUCUUGAGUGCCGGAGAGGAAGAUGGAACUACACGUGUAGCGGUGAAAUGCGUUGAGAUGUGUAGGAACACCAAUGGCGAAAGCAGCUCACUACACGUUGAUUGACGCUGAGGCACGAAAGCGUGGGGAUCAAACAGG
rnacentral:rRNA from 1 species